GCUUAAUGAUCUAUCUGAUGAAGAUUUGAUCUGCAUCACCUUUGUUUAAAAAAAAAAAAAAAUUCAACCAAUAUUUCAUGAGAGAGAAAAAACUACUCAGUUGCUUUUUGUGGAACACAAGGUUGUGUGUUCAAAUACUGUACAUGCAUCUAGGGCUGACUUGUGCUUGAUGGAGAAGAGAGGAAAACACCACCACCACCAAAAAAACAAG
rfam:Tinamus guttatus contig6545, whole genome shotgun sequence.